rnacentral:rRNA from 1 species
AUGCCCCAGAUCAAGUCGAGCAGGUCGGCAUCCCAUCGAUCCACAGCCAGAUCCGCCACCCCGACCCGCUCCUCGUCCCACCCACCCCAAUCGGAGGGAGUCAUCCCUCGCGGAGCGGCAUGGACUCGGCGAUGCUCUCGCUCACCUGCACGGGCCUCGGGGACGCGAAGGACGACGACGACGGAGGCGUCGUCAGCUACGUCAAGGGGACCACCGCCUUGGUACCGCCCCCACUCUCCUCGCCUUUCCCCGUCAAGGGCUACGUCAAGGGAAACCACUAUCGCUGGAGGCGCACGGCCCCGGCGGCGACCGGCCGAAGAAGCCGCGCCGCUACGGGGUCAUGGAGAUGAGGAGCCCCUGCUACUCCUUCCGUCCCGCCCACCACGCGCUCCAGGUCAUUGUUGUGAAGGCCGCCAUGGGAAGGCGUGGGGGAUUUGGCACAAGUGUCAAGAGCUAUGUGAGCCCUCCUGGAAGGGGCUUUGGUUGGACCUCUGA